CAGACUUGUGAGUCCUGAGACUUUAUUUUAACCCACAGUUUAUAACCUCAAAAUAGUCCAACCCAGGCAAGUCAAGUUGUUUUUAGAAGAAGAAAGUUCUCCAGAAACCUAAAAAUCCCCUAUCUUUCAGUUCCCAAGUGUUCCAUCAUUGAAGUCACAAUUCCCAUAUUUAUUACAUGAGAAUCAUAUCUGGUUUUCAUUUCACGCUCUCAGUUUAGCCAGCUGGGGUGAGACUUUGUACAAUAUGGAUUAACUCUUGACUGAGAUGGAAUAAGAAUCAUGACUGAGAAAAAAAAUUAUUUUAGGAAACUUAACACCCAGCAUAUCACCUGGGACCCAUGUUGGAAUUUACUCUGCAUAUUUAA
rnacentral:lncRNA from 1 species